AAGGUCUCCGUUGGUGAACCAGCGGUGGGAUCAUUA
rnacentral:rRNA from 1 species